GUGCUCGCUUUGGCAGCACAUAUACUAAAAUUAGAAUGAUACAGAGAAGAUUAGCAUGGCCCCUGCACAAGGAUGACACGCAAAGUUGUGAAGCAUUCCAUAUUUUU
rnacentral:snRNA from 1 species